rnacentral:lncRNA from 1 species
GUUCAGUCAGACUGAUUACUGAAAUGUAAAGAAAUGUGUAUAAUUGGAAUUAUUUCCCAUACCUGGGGUUCUUGAAUCUGAGGACUUUUAAUACUGGUAAUACCCAUAACUAAGUAGGUAGUGAUUGUCCAGAAAACCACCCUCUACUUGUACUGUAAAAGAUAACUUAUGCAUGCAUGCAUGCUGCUAGCUCUCGGAGGGAAGAUGAUUUGAUCCAGAGAGCUUACUUGAGUAGAUUAUCUGAUGUCCUUCCUCAUUGCCCUUGGCCUUGUGUUUCUCCUUAAAGUGUGGAAAUCUAAAAUGCACUGAGCUUUUCUGGAAUUGUAUUUCUAUGGGUGAAAACAUAAGUGUCUGGCAGCACCAUAAGAGAGAGAGGUGGACCUGAAUGCAUAAUGGAAUAUAUUUGGAAAUACAGUUUUUCUACUUGCUUAUCAGUAAGUUUUUCUGCUACUUGUAAUGAUUCUUUGGACUGAAUCCAUACCUAUUUUUUCGUAUUUACAUUCUUACGGAAUCCUGUGACAUGCUUAUUUGCAGUAUGAGCUAUAGAAAAA